rnacentral:rRNA from 1 species
AUUGAACGCUGGCGGCAGGCCUAACACAUGCAAGUCGAGCGGAUGAAGGGAGCUUGCUCCUGGAUUCAGCGGCGGACGGGUGAGUAAUGCCUAGGAAUCUGCCUGGUAGUGGGGGAUAACGUCCGGAAACGGGCGCUAAUACCGCAUCCGUCCUGAGGGUGAAAGUGGGGGGUCUUCGGACCUCACGCCAUCAGAUGAGCCUAGGUCGGAUUAGCUAGUUGGUGGGGUAAAGGCCUACCAAGGCGACGAUCCGUAACUGGUGUGAGAGGAUGAUCAGUCACACUGUAACUGAGACACGGACCAGACUCCUACGGGAGGCACCCGUGGGCAAUAUUGGACAAUGAACGAUUACCUGAUCCAGCCAUGCCGCGUGUGUGAAGAAGGUCUUCUGAUUGUAAAGCACUUUAUGUUGGGAGGGAGGGCAGUAAGUUAAUACCUUGAUAUUUUGACGUUACCUACAGAAUAAGCACCGGCUAACUUCGUG